rnacentral:rRNA from 1 species
AUUGAACGCUGGCGGAAUGCUUUACACAUGCCAGUCGAGCGGCAGCACGGGGGCAACCCUGGUGGCGAGCGGCGAACGGGUGAGUAAUACAUCGGAACAUGCCCAGUCGUGGGGGAUAACACUUCGAAAGAAGUGCUAAUACCGCAUACGUCCUGAGGGGGAAAGCGGGGGAUCGCAAGACCUCGCGCGAUUGGAGUGGCCGAUGUCAGAUUAGCUAGUUGGUGGGGUAAAGGCCUACCAAGGCAACGAUCUGUAGCUGGUCUGAGAGGAUGAUCAGCCACACUGGGACUGAGACACGGCCCAGACUCCUACGGGAGGCAGCAGUGGGAAAUUUUGGACAAUGGGGGCAACCCUGAUCCAGCCAUUCCGCGUGAGUGAAGAAGGCCUUCGGGUUGUAAAGCUCUUUCGGCAGGAACGAAACGGUGAGCUCUAACAUAGCUUGCUAAUGACGGUACCUGAAGAAGAAGCACCGGCUAACUACGUG